rnacentral:tRNA from 3 species
GGCCCCUUGGUCAAGCGGUUAAGACACCGCCCUCUCACGGCGGUAACAGGGGUUCGAAUCCCCUAGGGGUCACCA